UGUUUCUUUGCAGUACUUUCCUAUUAGGCCGGCAAGUCUAGUCACAAAGAUGUGAAAGACAGUACGUAUUAAUUGGCUUUUUAAAGCAUAUUGUGGGAAUCAGUCAAUCGGAUGUUUAUGGCCUAUUAUUGUGUGGCAUGUGAGUGAACUGGUGCGGGUGAAUAAUUCUGUGAUUGUGAGUUGAUGAUUUUUCUGAAGACACACAUUUGGGAGAACCACUGUGCAGGUGAGCUAAUUGAAAAUUGCUCAGGGGUGUUUUCUGAACUCCCACUCAAUGCUUUACUUUCUUUCUCAUGUUUGUUAAUUAUAUUAGGCUUUAAAUUUCUUUUUCUUCAGUAAACUCGUCAAUCUACUCGGAAUAUGUGUUUGUGUAUUAUCAAAUACAGCGAACACUCCUGAAGUACUCACUCAGAACUUGUGUUCAAUAGAAGCAAGCAAUUAAUGGCAUUUUAAAUGCAUGGCCACAAGAAACUAAUGUAAAAAAUUAUUAUAACCUGCAUGGCUGCAGACGUGCAUAUAUAUGGGUAGAGUGGCACUGUGGGCAAAGCAUUUAGGACUUGUUGAAGAAUGUUUCAAUCAGCUAGAGAGUCUUCAUUGUGUUCAAAGGGUAAGGUCUUUGGGUGAGCAGAACUGGAGUCAAUACUAGAGCUUCUGCAAGGUCCUUGUCCAUCAUGUGUAGGAUCGAUGACGUAAGAGAUCGAGAGGGUACUUAUCAUCUUUGCCUACAAGAGAGCUUCGGCAAGAACAAAUGAAGGUGCAUUAAAGGAAAGCGCCAGUAAUCUAUGUAUUUUAGGUCUUCCUAGCUAGAACAUUUUACAAGUACAGACUCAAUUUUCUAUGUUUUCUGAAUGGUUUAUAAUGCUCGCA